AACGAACGCUGGCGGCAGGCUUAACACAUGCAAGUCGAGCGCCCCGCAAGGGGAGCGGCAGACGGGUGAGUAACGCGUGGGAAUCUACCCAUCUCUACGGAAUAACGCAUGGAAACGUGUGCUAAUACCGUAUACGUCCUUCGGGAGAAAGAUUUAUCGGAGAUGGAUGAGCCCGCGUUGGAUUAGCUAGUUGGUGGGGUAAAGGCCUACCAAGGCGACGAUCCAUAGCUGGUCUGAGAGGAUGAUCAGCCACACUGGGACUGAGACACGGGCCAGAAUCCUACGGGAGGCAGCAGUGGGGAAUAUUGGACAAUGGGCGCAAGCCUGAUCCAGCCAUGCCGCGUGAGUGAUGAAGGCCCUAGGGUUGUAAAGCUCUUUCACCGGUGAAGAUAAUGACGGUAACCGGAGAAGAAGCCCCGGCUAACUUCGUGCCAGCCGCCGCCGUAAAAC
rnacentral:rRNA from 1 species